AUGGUAAGGAGAGACCUGAAGGACUGGAAUAUCACCAAAGAACUAGCCAUGGGCAGGGGUGUAUGGAAAUUAGCUAUCCACAUGCCUACCCCAACUUGUUUGGGACUGAAAGGCUUUGUUGUUGUUGUUGUUGUUGUUGUUGUUGUUGUUGUUGUUGUUGUUUGGUACCGAAAGGCCUACCUGAAGCAUUUUCCAACUUUGGUGAUAUAUGGUGGGUUAAAUCUGAGCCAUUCAAGUAAUACUCCAACUUUUUUGUGGAUUUUGCGAACUAUUCGUGCAUGUGUUUGUUAUGACACCUGUGUCUGA
rnacentral:rRNA from 1 species